UACGUAGGGGGCAAACGUUGUCCGGAUUUACUGGGUGUAAAGGGUGCUCAGGCGGUCUUGUAAGUCAGAAGUGAAAUCCUAGAGCUUAACUCUGGAACUGCUUUUGAUACUGCAAGGCUUGAAUAUGGAAGAGGAGGGUGGAAUUUCUGGUGUAGCAGUGAAAUGCGUAGAUAUCAGAAAGAACACCAGUGGCGAAGGCGGCCCUCUGGUCCAUUAUUGACGCUAAAGCACGAAAGCGUGGGGAGCAAACAGG
rnacentral:rRNA from 1 species